UCCUACGGGACGCAGCAGUGAGGAAUUUUGGACAAUGGGGGCAACCCUGAUCCAGCCAUGCCGCGUGAGUGAAGAAGGCCUUCGGGUUGUAAAGCUCUUUCGGCCGGGAAGAAAUCGCGCAGGCUAAUAUCCUGUGUGGAUGACGGUACCGGAAUAAGAAGCACCGGCUAACUACGUGCCAGCAGCCGCGGUAAUACGUAGGGUGCGAGCGUUAAUCGGAAUUACUGGGCGUAAAGCGUGCGCAGGCGGUUUUGUAAGACAGGCGUGAAAUCCCCGGGCUCAACCUGGGAACUGCGCUUGUGACUGCAAGGCUAGAGUACGGCAGAGGGGGGUGGAGUUCCACGUGUAGCAGUGAAAUGCGUAGAGGUGUGGAGGAACACCGAUGGCGAAGGCAGCCCCCUGGGCCGAUACUGACGCUCAUGCACGAAAGCGUGGGUAGCAAACAGGAUUAGAUACCCGCGUAGUCCC
rnacentral:rRNA from 1 species